UCUUAUGGGUAAGCAAAGAAAGUGGUUUCUUGAGAUGGAAUCUACUCUUGGUGAAGAUACUUUGAA
rnacentral:pre_miRNA from 1 species